rnacentral:rRNA from 1 species
GAUGAACGCUAGCGGCAGGCUUAAUACAUGCAAGUCGAGGGGUAGCAAGAUUGUAGCAAUACAAUUGUUGACGACCGGCAAACGGGUGCGGAACACGUACACAACCUUCCUACAAGUGGGGAAUAGCCCAGAGAAAUUUGGAUUAAUACCCCGUAACAUAGCGAUGUGGCAUCACAUUGCUAUUAUAGCUUCGGCGCUUGUUGAUGGGUGUGCGGCUGAUUAGAUAGUUGGCGGGGUAACGGCCCACCAAGUCUACGAUCAGUAGCUGAUGUGAGAGCAUGAUCAGCCACACGGGCACUGAGACACGGGCCCGACUCCUACGGGAGGCAGCAGCAAGGAAUAUUGGACAAUGGACGCAAGUCUGAUCCAGCCAUGCCGCGUGAAGGACUAAGGUCCUCUGGACUGUAAACUUCUUUUAUAAGGGACGAAAAAAGGUCUUUCUAGAUCGUCUGACGGUACCUUAUGAAUAAGCACCGGCUAACUCCGUGCCAGCAGCCGCCGUAAAAC